CUAGCGUACUUCAGAGUUUGAUCCUGGCUCAGGACGAACGCUGGCGGCGUGCUUCAUACAUGCAAGUCGAACGAGAAUCUAGCUUCGGUUAGAGGAAAGUGGCGGACGGGUGAGUAAUAUGUAGGGAAUCUGCCCUUAAGCGGGGGGACAACAGAGGGAAACUUCUGCUAAUACCCCAUAUGAGCGUAGCUGAGAUGCUAUUCUUGAAAACUCCGGUGCUUAAGGAUGAGCCUGCAUCUGAUUAGCUAGUUGGGGGUGUAAUGGACCACCAAGGCGACGAUCAGUAGCUGGUUUGAGAGGAUGAUCAGCCACAAUGGGACUGAGACACGGCCCAU
rnacentral:rRNA from 1 species